UACGUAGGGGCGAGCGUUAUCCGGAAUUAUUGGGCGUAAAGGGUUCGCAGGCGGCCUUGUAAGUCAGAUGUGAAAGACAGCGGCUUAACCGUUGUAAGCAUUUGAAACUGCAGGGCUUGAGUACAGGAGAGGAAAGCGGAAUUCCUAGUGUAGCGGUGAAAUGCGUAGAUAUUAGGAGGAACACCAGUGGCGAAGGCGGCUUUCUGGACUGAUACUGACGCUGAGGAACGAAAGCGUGGGAAGCAAACAGGAUUAGAUACCCCGGUAGUCCCUGA
rnacentral:rRNA from 1 species